UACGUAGGUGGCAAGCGUUGUUCGGAAUCACUGGGCGUAAAGGGUGCGUAGGCGGGUCUUUAAGUCAGGGGUGAAAUCCUGGAGCUCAACUCCAGAACUGCCUUUGAUACUGAAGAUCUUGAGUUCGGGAGAGGUGAGUGGAACUGCGAGUGUAGAGGUGAAAUUCGUAGAUAUUCGCAAGAACACCAGUGGCGAAGGCGGCUCACUGGCCCGAUACUGACGCUGAGGCACGAAAGCGUGGGGAGCAAACAGG
rnacentral:rRNA from 1 species